UCCUAGUUGACCCCGGCAGUCUCCUAUGAGUCCCCACCAUCACGUGCUGGCAACAUAGGACGAGGGUUGCGCUCGUUGCGGGACUUAACCCAACAUCUCACGACACGAGCUGACGACGGCCAUGCAGCACCUGUCCGGGUGCCCCGAAGGCACCAAUCCAUCUCUGGAAAGUUCUCGACAUGUCAAGGCCAGGUAAGGUUCUUCGCGUUGCAUCGAAUUAAACCACAUACUCCACCGCUUGUGCGGGCCCCCGUCAAUUCCUUUGAGUUUUAGCCUUGCGGCCGUACUCCCCAGGCGGAGUGCUUAGCGCGUUAACUACGGCACCGCAGGGGUCAAUACCCGCGACACCUAGCACUCAUCGUUUACGGCGUGGACUAC
rnacentral:misc_RNA from 1 species